UACGUAGGGGGCAAGCGUUUGUCCGGAAUUAUUGGGCGUAAAGAGCGUGUAGGCGGUCCGGUAAGUCAGCUGUGAAAGUCAAGGGCUCAACCCUUGAAUGCCGGUUGAUACUGUCGGGCUAGAGUCCGGAAGAGGCGAGUGGAAUUCCCGGUGUAGCGGUGAAAUGCGCAGAUAUCGGGAGGAACACCAAUGGCGAAGGCAGCUCGCUGGGACGGUACUGACGCUGAGACGCGAAAGCGUGGGGAGCAACAGG
rnacentral:rRNA from 1 species